rnacentral:lncRNA from 10 species
GCCAACUCUGGUUUCCUCCUCACCCUGUCUGGGGUCUGGGGAGAUUUUCACCCCAGAGGCAUGGGAGAUGGCCAGAGAUGACUUCCUUUUCUUCUGCCCACUGAGGAACUCCAAAUGGCCAAGCACCUGGUUCCUUGGGCUGGAUGACUUCUCUGUCCGUCUGGCACGCAGCGUGGUCUCAGGUUCUACGUGCCCCUCGCAAAGGGUGCUGACACCCUUCUCUUUCUUCUUUUUCUUCACUAGAGGCAUCUCAGGUGCCUGCCCGUGGACCACACUCUUAGAGGGGGCUGUGGCUUUUAUAGGAGAAACAUGGGCAAAGUAAUCAUCAUUGUUUAAAAUUGAGUAUUGAGUCCCUGGUUCUUUGACCACUUUCUUCUUCUUUUUCUUCUCUGGGAUCCCAGGGCCCAGGUCUACUUUCCGGUGGGCCAAACUUCCCCGCCUCCACGUGAGAGCCGGCUCCGCCGUGACCCGGAAGUCCACUUUCGGGUUGCACGCGUGGCUUCUCUUACACACAAAUUUUCUUCCACUUCUGCCACUCCUGAGACAGCAAGACUGAUACCUUAUUUUCCUCCUCCUCCUUGGCCUACUCAACAUGAAGAUGAUGAGGAUGACGACCUUUACGAUGAUCCACUUCCAUCUAAUGAUUGAGGCAGUGUCUCACUCUGUUGUCCAGGCUGGAGUGCAGCGAUAUGGUCAUAGCUCACUGCAGCCUCGAACUCCUGGGCUCAAGGGAUCCUGCCACCUCAGCUAAGGCCUGCAGUAGCUAAGACUUAGAGAUGGGAUUUCACUGUGUUGGCCAAACUGGUCUCGAACUCCUGACCUCGGGAUCCACCCGCCUCAGCCUCCCAAAGUGCUGGGAUUACAGCCAUGAGCGACCGCGCCCAGCCGUCACAGGAUUUCAUACUUAUUAAGAUCCCUCUUUCUUCUUUAGGAUUCCCAAGUAACUUGUCUCUGCUAUUUUUAAUGUAUAUGACCGAAUAAAUUCAAAAUGAGCCUUAUGAAAAUAGGCUAAGGUCAAACAUUGUAUACUCCUAAUAUCUCCUAGCAGUCCAUGAAUAUCUCCAAAUACGUUGGAGGGAUUGAGAUGGACUCAAAACUUAUUAGAGAAUCUUGAAUACUGUGGGCAGUGUAAAGCCCUCUCCUAUCAAUAAUAUUUCUUGUUGCCUUGGGAGGCAACUAGAAUAUGAUGAUGGAAAUGAUACAGAGGUCAGUUAUAUGCUUUUAUUUCCCCCAUAUUUUGAGAGCUGCAUAUGGUAUAUAUCUGCCCAUAAAUUUAUGUAUGCAUAUUAUGUAUACAUCUGGGUGCAUAUAUUGAAAGGCAGUAUAGCGGAGUGGUUAGGGAAUGGGUCUGGAAGCCAGAUUACCUGGGUUUGAAGCCAGGCUCUUUCACCUGCUAUUCGUAUAACCUCGGGCAAGUUAGUUACAUAACCUCUCAGUGCUUCAGUUUCCUUAUCUGUAAAAUGAUACAAUAAAAUUAUGUACCUCAUGGAGUGGCUGUGAGGAUUAAAUACGUUUAUAUACAUAAAACACCUAGAACAAUGCCUGUAAAAUGAUAGGAAUUCAAAAAUUGUAGCUACUUAACAAUAUAUUGUAUGCAUUUUUAUAUACAUCAUAUGGAUACAUACAUAUGUAUAUAUAUAUAUAAUACAUAAUCGCCUUGCCUCCAAAAUAAGACAAUUUCAUACACAUAAAAUAUAUAUAAAUGUCAUAUAUAUACAUACACACGCACACACACACACGUACACUCCAUGUAUAGCACAUUUCGAUUUUCUUGGAAAUUUCAGUUAUCUAAUGACCAACACGAGUGUGGAUACCAACAUAGCUGAUGACUGGCAUGAACAUAGUAUACAUUUGAUAUUUUAUAUCUAUCUAUUUAAUGAAAUAAUACUUGCCACUGAAAACUGGCCCUAAUAUAACAUGUACAUGGCAUCAAGGUGAAGUGAAAAAGCUCAAGCAUGACACUGGACAAUGGAUUUGCAUCCUGGGUCAAUCACUUAAAAACUGCAUGGUCUUGGACAAGUCAUUUAACCUUUCUGAGCUUUAGUUUUCUCAUCUGAAGAACAGGGAUGUAAAAUUUCUUGCAAGUUUGUGGUGAGAAGGAGACACAAAAUACAUUUUUAAAAAAGCAUUUGGCCAACAUCCUGGUACAUAGCAAAUGCUUAAUAAAUGGAAACGCUGAUCUUUAAUGUGUCAGUCCCGCUACAAAUUAGGGUAUUUUUUUUUUAAGCCCAACACAAACAAACAUCCCACUGGAAGUUUUUGAUCAGCUAUGCUGUUGCUGUAUAAUGAUCAUGGUUUAGUCUUAAGGGCAUGUGGUUUCAAUAACUAUAUGUGGUUGGAAGUUAUGCUGCCUGUAGGAACGAAAGGAGGAAAGAGAUUGGUGUAAUUCAAGUUUCACCAGUAUCUCACUAGGCAGUUUUGGAACUUUGUGCCUUCUCUCCCUCUGGCUUCCCUUCUUCUGCCAGUAGGAAGCCUAGUGGCCCCAGAAACGGUUACACUCAAGAAGCAGUAGAGGCUGAAAAUCUGCGGAGGUGGCACUGCUUUGCUUGGUGGGGUUAGGCCAAGCAGGUAGGUUCGUAACCUACUGGUCAGGUGCCAGAAGACUUUUUCUUCCCUGGGUGUUGUCUGAGAGAAAGGGAUUACGACCCAGCAGAUGUUCACUGUAAAUGACAAUCCCUUUUCAAACGUUAAGUAUGUUCAUAUAAGUAGUAGCGAGAGGCAACUUGUUUUGUAGUUGGGCCCUGUUUGCUUCUUGCACAGUAUUUAAGGAACUGGGCCUGACAUAGUAAUAGCUAACUUUGUAAAGCAACUACAUAUGUACUAUGAGAAUAAACCAUUCAACAAACAACAACAACGACAACAACAACAACAACAAAAAGAGAAGAAACCAUUCAACAUACACUGGGAACUCUUAGAAUAAAAGUAACACUUAAAUUUAAGGUGGAGUACGAUCAUCAACGAAUUCUUAUGCCAUAUGUGCAAGUGGCUCUGAUGUGAAACUUGCAUGGUAGAGAAAAUGUAAGGAAAGGAAACAUAUAGGAAAUGUGUUUCAUGCACACACACACACAAUUUUUUCACACAGUUGAUGAAGCUACAUUGAACCAGCAAUUUGAAUAUUAUUAUUAUCCAUCUCUCUCAUUAAAUACUUAGGAACACAUAGUAAAAUUGCUUAAGGAUGGACAUUUAGAUUGCCAUAUCCAGAGUUAUAUCCAAGCAGCAAAUGAUUGCACUGCUUAUAAAUUCUAGGCAGAUGAUAAUUUAAAGUCCCCACGAAAGCCCUGAGCUUAUUUGAUUGUUCUCUUAAUUACUGGGCUCUAUGCUAUCAAAUAUUUGUGUAAGAGGAAGCUUUUCUUUGUGGGAGUGGAUAAUAGCUGUGCUUACACUUUGAAAUUUUUGCCUUGAGUUAUUAAGAUUUACAUUUCUCACUUUUGUUCCAGGGAAAGGUGUUUAGCCGUUUUUAGAAAACAGGUACCACAUAAUCAAUCAUCAAACACCCGGGAAAGUUUCCGCCCUUGACAAGUGUAAAAUCUCAGGUAUUAGCAACCCACCUCCAGAAACAAAUCUACCAAGGGUGGAAAGGGGUAGAAAGGAUGUCUCACUUUCCUAGGUGAAUAUAUUGUGAUUGGUAUGUGUGGCAUGCAUUGAGAAAUUACAUUUGCUUACUAACUGCCGUUUAGAAAUCAGCCCGAAAAAGUCUGGGAGAGAUCGCCCAGAGACAGCCAAGCCCCGAGCCUCGCUCCCAAGCUCCUCCGGAGUCCUGCUCUUCUAGGCGCGUGAAGAAUAAAUAGAGUCUGGUCAUUGAUCUCCUGAUGGUGUUGUUGCACUCUGGGUAAUGCUGGGGGUGCCCAGGGACGCGGCGCAGUCCAUGGUUGCGCGUCUGCAGAGAAUUACAGAGAUGGGGACAGAGAACACGCACCUCGGCAUAAAAGCAAAAGGAGAGAAGGCUACAGCGAGGAAAAGAAACGUGUUGCUCGAAUUGUUUCCUUAGU